CAAAGCCGCAGAUCGCUCCACCGCUGUGCGCAGCCCCCUGCUGAGGGGCCAGCGGCUCUCCCUGGGACCCCAGAACCUUAACACAAUUCUGAGGUGGAAGAAAUGGGGAACACCAGGCCUGGCCUCAUGGAGACCGGGGAGUCAGAACCUGAGCUCUGGCUCCUGGAGCUGCUGCGAGUGAGUGGUGGAAACCUGCCCCCUUAGAGAAGCUGCAGCUGAUCAGCAUCAUGCAAGGGACUGCUGAGAUGGUAGCAUGCUGGUAAUGAAGUGUUAUGGAGCCACUCCAUCCUUUAUUCAUCCUUUUCCUCAUACACACAGAGAGCAAAGCACAGGAACCAGCUACAGAAUUUGCAAGUGGAGAAUCCAGGUACCUUUAAAAGUCUAUUUAGUGAAAAUCUCUGGCUAUUGAUGUGACGGUUAAUUUUAUGUGCCAACUUGGCUAGGCCAUGGUACCCAGUUUUUCAUAAAAGAUCAGUCUAGAUGUUGUGAAGGUAUAUUUUUAAAUGUGAUUAACAUUUUAUUCAGUGGACUUCAAGUAAAGCAGAUUAUCC
rnacentral:lncRNA from 1 species